UUGUUCUUUGGGAUCGCCCAUCACUUAAUGGGAUCCCGCAUUAGUCACUGGGAUCGCUCAUCAAUUAAUGGAUCCCCCAUUGUUCUUCGGGAUCACCCAUCACUUAAUGGGAUCACCCGUUGACCAUUGGGAUCACCCAUCGGUCUUUGGGGUCGCCCAUCAACGGGAUCCCCUAUUAAUCACUGGGAUUGCUCAUCAAUUAAUGGGAUAAUUAAUGGGAUCUCCCAUAAAUCACUGGGAUCACCCAUUGACCAUUGGGAUCGCCCAUCGGUCUUUGGGAUCGCCCAUCAAUGGGAUCCCUUAUUAAUCACUGGGAUCAGCCAUCAAUUAAUGGGAUCCCCCAUUGACCAUUGGGAUCGCCCAUCGGUCUUUGGGAUCGCCCAUCAAUGGGAUCCCCUAUUAAUCAAUAGGAUCGCAUCAGUCUUUGGGAUUGCUCAUCAAUGGGAUCCCCUAUUAAUCACUGGGAUUGCUCAUCAAUUAAUGGGAUAAUUAAUGGGAUCCCCCAUUAAUCACUGGGAUCACCCAUUGACCAUUGGGAUCACCCAUCAUUCUUUGGGAUCGCUCGUCAGUGGGAUCCCCUAUUAAUCACUGGGAUCACCCAUUGACCAUUGGGAUCACCCAUCGGUCUUUGGGAUCAGCCAUCCAUUAAUGGGGUCCCCUAUUAAUCACUGGGAUCAGUCAUCAAUUAAUGGGAUCCCCCAUUGUUCUUUGGGAUCGCCCAUCAAUGGGAUCCCCUAUUAAUCACUGGGAUCAGCCCUCAAUUAAUGGGAUCCCCUAUCGUUCUUUGGGAUCGCCCAUCAAUGGGAUCCCCUAUUAAUCACUGGGAUCAGCCAUCAAUUAAUGAGCCCCCCCCACCCCAUCGCUAAUUGCGACCGACCGCCCAUCUUUGGGAUCAGCCAUGGACUCCUGGGAUCCCCUAUUAACCUCUGGGGUCCGCCGCCGAUCAUUGGGGCCACCCAUUGCUCUUUGGGGUCACCCGUUGUUCUUUGGGAUCCCCCACUGAUCUUUGGGAUUUCCGCCCCCCCCCCCUUUUGGGGUCUCCCGUUGCCCCCCUCCCUGUAGAUACUGUACAGCCCCUUUGUAGACGUCGGGAUUUUUUCUAUGCACUUUUGGGGACGGAUUUUUUGGGGGGGUUUUGGGGGGAGGGGGUUUUUAUGGUUUCGGUCGGUUUGGGGUUUUGGGGGUUUUUUUUGUUUUUUAUUUAAGGUGGGGGCGGAACCGCCCCAAAUAAAGAGGAACUUUGGA
rnacentral:lncRNA from 1 species